rnacentral:ncRNA from 15 species
GUCAUAGCGUGUGUGACCAGCCCGAGUGAGCCUUGGAAUGAGGUGAACUACGUUGAACACAGGUGAGUCGGCCCACGGCCGGGUGCUUCCUCAGCCCGGUCCUCUGGA